UAGGGAAUCUUCCGCAAUGGGCGAAAGCCUGACGGAGCAACGCCGCGUGAGUGAAGAAGGAUUUCGGUUCGUAAAGCUCUGUUGUUAGGGAAGAAUGAUUGUAUAGUAACUAUAUACAGUAGAGACGGUACCUAACCAGAAAGCCACGGUUAACUACGUGCCAGCAGCCGCGGUAAUACGUAGGUGGCAAGCGUUGUCCGGAAUUAUUGGGCGUAAAGCGCGCGCAGGUGGUUUAAUAAGUCUGAUGUGAAAGCCCACGGCUCAACCGUGGAGGGUCAUUGGAAACUGUUAAACUUGAGUGCAGGAGAGAAAAGUGGAAUUCCUAGUGUAGCGGUGAAAUGCGUAGAGAUUAGGAGGAACACCAGUGGCGGAGGCGGCUUUUUGGCCUGUAACUGACACUGAGGCGCGAAAGCGUGGGGAGCAAACAGGAUUAGAUACCCUGGUAGUCCACGCCGUAAACGAUGAGUGCUAAGUGUUGGUCUCAUAAGAGAUCAGUGCUGCAGCUAACGCAUUAAGCACUCCGCCUGGGGAGUACGACCGCAAGGUUG
rnacentral:rRNA from 1 species